rnacentral:rRNA from 1 species
ACGAACGCUGGCGGCGCGCUUAACACCUGCCAGUCGAACGGAAAGGCCUGCUUUCCCUUGUGGAUUGCGGGUACUCGAGUGGCGAACGGGUGAGUAACACGUGAGUGAUCUGCCCCCAACUUGGGUAUAAGCCUGGGAAACUGGGUCUAAUUCCCGAUAGGACUGCAGGGUGGUGCCUGUGGUGGAAAACGAUUUUCUAGUGGUUGGGGAUGAGCUCGCGGCCUAUCAGCUUGUUGGUGGGGUAAUGGCCUACCAAGGCGGCGACGGGUAGCCGGCCUGAGAGGGUGGACGGCCACAUUGGGACUGAGAUACGGCCCAGACUCCUACGGGAGGCAGCAGUGGGGAAUAUUGCACAAUGGGCGGAAGCCUGAUGCAGCGACGCCGCGUGGGGGAUGACGGCCUUCGGGUUGUAAACUCCUUUCGACCGCGAGGAAGCCACCUGGUUGGAAGGGUGGUGACGGUAGUGGUAGAAGAAGCACCGGCUAACUACGUG